rnacentral:rRNA from 1 species
CCUACGGGAGGCUGCAGAGGGGAAUAUUGGACAAUGGGGGCAACCCUGAUCCAGCCAGGCCGCGUGUGUGAAGAAGGCCCUCGGGUUGUAAAGCACUUUCAGUGAGGAAGAACGCCUGGUGGUUAAUACCCAUCAGGAAAGACAUCACUCACAGAAGAAGCACCGGCUAACUCCGUGCCAGCAGCCGCGGUAAUACGGAGGGUGCGAGCGUUAAUCGGAAUUACUGGGCGUAAAGCGCGCGUAGGUGGCUUGAUAAGCCGGUUGUGAAAGCCCCGGGCUCAACCUGGGAACGGCAUCCGGAACUGUCAAGCUGGAGUGCAGGAGAGGAAGGUAGAAUUCCCGGUGUAGCGGUGAAAUGCGUAGAGAUCGGGAGGAAUACCAGUGGCGAAGGCGGCCUUCUGGACUGACACUGACACUGAGGUGCGAAAGCGUGGGUAGCAAACAGGAUUAGAUACCCGAGUAGUC